CUCGUUCACACAGAUCUGACUCCGCUGCCGCCGGAUCGCACGCCAGAUCCACCAGUACGCCCAGACCGCGUCCGGAUCCAUCCCGGCCGCCCAUGCUGCCUAUGCGCGCCCCUCCCUCAGCCCACCGGCGACCUCCCAUCCUCCACCGUCUACCCCACCGUCGGAUCUCCUCCUCCCCUCUCCUUCUCUCCCUCGCGGACGCGUCAAACCCACGAAAUUUCCCUCCUCGCGGCCGUAACCCUAGCUCGUGCCUGUGGGGACUGCGCUGGAGGUGCGGCACGGGAUUCGCACUGCAGGAUUCGCCAGCGACGAGUCCAACAGGUCGUCGAAUCGGGGAACGGGAUGGCGCACCCUGCUGCAGCCACCGGUCGGGACGAGCGCGGCGGCGACGAACGUCGGUGCGCCUCCGUUUCCUCGACCUCCAAGGACGCGGGCGCCGGAUUUGUUCUCGCCUGACCAACCUCGGUAUCCAGCUCCCUACAGCCACCGCCGGCGUUGACUCCCAAGGCAAGGAUGACGAUGACGCCAAAGAUGACGAGGCCCCGAGCUCGAGCACGACCACUACGACGCACUACACAAAGGCCCCUGCUUCCUGCCUGCCCUUCCCUUUGCUUGGAAGAUAGCUCUCUCCAGAUGUUGUUCCUGUCCUUCUCCUUGGUUGUUGAGCGCUGCACUCACUCAUGUAUGCAGGUUGAGUCCAAGCACAAGUAAGCACCAUUAUUAGGCGAGAAGACGACGGUGACGCAGAGGAGGACGAGGACCCGCGCUCCAGCCCGACCACGACUAUGCACCGCACGGUCCCUGCUUCCUGGCUGUCGCCAAUUGCCCCCUUCCCUUUACAGUACUACUCUAUUUGUUUUCAUUGCUUUUCACCCAGUUUUGCACACUUUCUGGCCCUUCACUUUUUUGUGUGCAAAUGUUCUGAUCGCCUCCAUAUGGCUGUUUCCGUCCUCCUGCUCGUAUUGUCUCCAUCCUCCUGCUCAAGUCGUCGCCGUCGCCUCCCAUCCUUCAUGGCCUGCGUGUGUGCGCCCACUGUUGGAGGACGACGUUGAACAUGAAGCAGAACCCAGCCGGAGCGGUCUGACGCGGUGGUCGUGGCCAAGGAGCGGUGGUCGAUGCCAUGGAGUAGGGGCCCUCGGUCGCCUGCACAUCGGCUGCGUUCUGAACUAAUGCUUUCUGCAACUGCAAUGUUCCCCUUCACAUUGUAUCUUGUGUAGGCAGAAGGAAUGCAGCUCAGUGACGGCGUCGGCUACAACUGGAUCGAUGGCCUGAAGGCUUUUACUAAGAAGAUGAAGAAUGUUGUAGAAUAGUGUCCAUCAACAAAGAGUCUUACUACUACCGGUUGGAGAGGCUCUAUCCUCAGGUGAUUGAUUACUUAAGAAGUAUACUGAAUUAUGAUAUCCAUCGAUCUAAUUUUGUAUAGGAAGUUUGAAAAACUAAAGAAUCUGUGGUACAUGAUUUGAUUUACUCAUUCAGAUUUUAGUAAAUUGUGACCGGAAGUUUUUUUUCACAAAACCAGUGCACCACCCUUUCUACACACAUCAUUCAUGGAUUGGCAGACUAAAGGUUCUAUUCAACAUCUUUGGUGGAUUGCAUAAAUGGGCUAGAGUAAAAAUAGACCAGAAUUGUUAUAUGUGCUUAGGGAAGUGGGAUUAGAUCAAGAUUUUUUUUGACAAAAUGAGAAAUCAAUGGCUCAAGGAGAGUAAGCCCAAAGAGAUAAGUAUUGUUUUCCUUUAGUAGCUUGCCGCAUAAUUCAUUCAAACAUAUUUAGAGUGGAGCGGGAAUAUUCAAACAAGGAAAUAUACACAAUAUCUGUUAGUAUACAUGUGACACUUUCCCAUCUUUCGACUAAUGAUUGCCUCCUGCCAGGUAUCACUAAUAGCACAUUCAUCACAUCAUUUGUGUAGCUCAUUCUGGUGUAAGUCGGGCCAAUUUAGAAAAGAUUUUAAAGCAGAUUCAUACAUGUUAUAGAAGUCAGAGUCAAAUAGUAUAAUAAGUGAUUUGUUUGUGCAUAAUUUCUAAUUGAUCGUCUUCUAAGGAUAAAUGGAACUGCUACCUUUCCUCUCUCCAAUAAACUAUUAGACCCUGCUUGUAACUAUUUUUCAUCUUGGUGUGAUUUAUAAGGGAGGCCAUGCCAUUAGUUUUUUGUUAUUACAUGCUGUGAUGAUCCCGAUUCAUUGAUGUAUAGUGUCGUAUGUGGUCAAUUACCUAAUAUGGUAGUAUCACUUCUCCUGGUUUGCCUUGGUCUGAAAUCUGACUUUUGGACUGAUUGUAGUCAAUCUGAAUUAGUGAGGUUCUUUUUUCCAACUGUCCAUGUUCAGUUCUCUACAUUAUCAUGCAUUUUCUUUGGUUUAAAGAUGUCAUGAUGUUCACCAAGGCAGAGAAGAAAUGUUUUAAAGUUGUCCCUUCAAUUGAAACAAGUAUGACUUGGUCCUUAGUGCCUAUGCAGACAUGAAAACGGAAGGUCGAGAGGUUUAAAUAUGUCAUGAUGUUUACAAUUGCGGAUAUCCUGCUUCAGGUACUUGCAUGAUAACUCACAAUUUCAACACAGAAGUUACUAAUAUGUAAGACAUGCCCUCUCUCAUUCAAUGAUGUCCUGAAAUUUUCACACAAAGCUUUGUAAUCUUGCCAAGUCACAAGAGAGCCAAGUAAUCAUGCGAAUUUUCAGAGAACUUCAAGUGGCAUGCCACCAUUUGCAAUGGUUGUGAUGUAGUGAUAAUUAAUAAACUGCAGGUCUUCUAAAUAUUCUAAAGUUGCAUAUCUAAGAGCAUAUUAUAUUUCUCAUAAACAACUGGAGUUAAGCUUCUAUCCUCUUCCUGUCUUGAAGGAAUUAUCUGUUGAGUAAGCUACAAUCUCUUUGUUUGACUAGCUAGGCUGUGUUACAUACAUGUAUAAGAUGAUGCUUCUGUGGCUAUAACUGGUGCCUGCCGCGCUAAAUAGGGAACACCCUAUUAAUUACCCACCUCAAUUUCAUUAGUGCGUCCGGCCUGUGAAUUUUACCCCAGACUAUAAAUCCCCUCCAAACGAAACCCUAUAGGUGUACUAUGACUCUUAAUAGUGUAUCCUUGUAAAAGUCAGUGUGUUGCGUUAUUUUUUUUGGUGUGGUUAGAGAACUCGACUCCAUUUGGAACGAGGGUUUGAGUUUUAUUUUUCCUAAACCUUUGAGAGGCAGAGCCAUGGAAAUAUUUUGUGCUCUCAUUCCUCUGGAUGGAAGCUCUAACUUUUCCUCUUUGUUUCCAAUAAGCUACUUUCUUCGAGAUUGUGCAAUGAAGGAUUUUGAUGGUAAGGGAUCGUAGAGCCUCGGGUGACUAGCAUUAAGAUAGGAAGGCUGUUGCCGCCCUUGUCCCUUGCUGCUGUGUUGCCACGGUGGCAUCAAUCACUGGCUUAUUUAGAACAAUAGUUAGUGGAUUUUGUGAUAAGGGUGAGGGCCGAGAGUGAGAGGGACGGGGUUGGGAUUGGUCUGUUGUAUGCGUGAAAUUAUUUCCCUACUUCAGAAAAUAUGGCAAAUUGCAUUUCAUUAGAGAUUGAUUUACAGCAAAUUGCAUGAGCGAGUGGUUCAUGCAUUUUUCAUCAAGUCGUACAUUUUCUUGGUUAUGACAUAAGGGUAAAUGUACUGGUUGGUUGCUUCAAGACUUAAUAACAGACACUAUGACAAUGGCUCAAGAGAUAUCAGAUCUACCUUCUUGGCUGGGGGCGUUAUGGGUGGCGCACGCCUCGACCCCCUUGAUGGCCGUGGUGGAUGGACAUGAACACGAGGGGGGAUCAGGGCGGAGAGCAGGGUGGUUGGCAGGGGACUCAUCCUUGGCAGUUCAUGGGAAAGUACGGUGUGAAGCAGAGGGGGCGCCAUGGCGAAGUGUGAAAGGAGGAAAAUGGUUGCCGGAAAGCAGGUAGAUCUACACCUUGAGAGAUGGCAUUUUGCGGUACAUUGUUUAGGUAUUUGGAUUAUCUAUUAUGUUUCAGAAUUUCUCGAACUAUGGUAUCUCCAUAUCCAUCUAAUGAAUGCCCCCCCAGUAAUUUCAUUCAAGAUAUCUUAAGGAUAAAUUUGGUUUUUGGUGAACUGAAACAAUAUACCAAUAAAAAAUUAGCGCUUGGCUGUACAUAUGAAUGUUAACUUUGUUAAAAUAAUUCUCCCUUUAUAAGAGAAGAUUUCUUAGUUCAAAUAUAUUUUUUGAAAAAAUAUAGUAUUUUCCUGAUAAACCUUUUGAUUCCUCAACAUCCAUAUCUCAGAAGGAUAAUAGUGGUGUGUUUAUGUUGCUUUGGGUCUCUUAUCACUCGGAUCAUUCAUCAGAAAAAUAUUUAAAAAAUAAUUCUAUUUUGACGUUUCCUUUGUGUUCAUUGUUCCAUCAUAGUAGUUUAGGUUCACAUGAAACCAGACCAUAUGUUUCAGUUUCACUCUUUGGACCAUGAUGGUGUUGUGCAAGGUGGGCUACAUCGUAAUGCUAAAAGAAUCAAUGGAGGUUAUUGGAUAGCUUUUAGAUUCUCAAAAAAAUAAUCUAGCAGAUGGAUGAUCCUAUUAUCACGUAUGGUGGUGGUGUGCAAGGAAAUGGAGCAGCAUGAUGGUAGCUAAUGCUGUUAUCUUCACAUAGUAUAGUAUAUUGGGAGCCAAGGCCGAGUAGCAAGCCAUGUGUCACCGCAAGGACAGGAGCGAGAUUUAAUUAAUUGUAUUUGCAAGAUUUGGUCUUCCGUUCUUGUUUUCCUGGUCAUCUCACAGGUCAUUAGUGGUCACUUGAGAUGGGUGCGAUCUGUAGCAUUUGAUCCAGGGAACAAAUGGUUUUGUCCUGGUUUUGCUGAUAGGACAAUAACGGCAAGGAAGAAGGUUGCAGAGCACGGAUGGAUGUGAAAAGGAAGGGGAUGGAUGAGAGAGGAGAGAAGAGGGGUGAAAGAGGAUACAUAUGGAAAGAGGGAGAAGGACAGGGUGGAGGUGCUUCUUGAGGAUUAUUGUCGACUGAUUUCAUACUCUCUUAUAAAUUCAUGGUUAGCUAGGUAAACCUUUUGUACAACAGCUCUUGUUCAAAAGGAAGUUUGAUUUUUCGGCUUCUUAUUUUAGGUCAAUAUCAAGAACAGUUUAGUUAAUUUAGUUUAAUGUUUAUGUUUGAAAUUGACUUUUACCAUUCUGGUUGAAUGGGGGUGUGGAUAGAAGAGAUUGCGAGUCGGGUA